rnacentral:siRNA from 1 species
AUAUCAUGGCAGAGCAGCAAC